AGCAUAGGUCGUUGUGUGCCAUAUGGGUUGGUUGUCCUCAUAACCAAAGAGUGUGGAGAAACUCCUAUGGCAUACAGGUGAGAUGUAAUGGUACAUCUGCACUGAACGUGACCAACUCCGGAGCUAUUUCUGCUGUCAAGAUUUGCUCCGAUGGGAUAUGGGUAUAAAUGUCCCUCCGACCUGAGACCGCCAUGGUGACUUGCAAGCAACUCACUGCACUUAGGNNN
rnacentral:lncRNA from 1 species